rnacentral:lncRNA from 1 species
AUCAAUACAAAUAUUAUUUUGUACACGUGUUUCUUGUCUCGUUCAUCGCAGGAAAAUUCCGUGUUCACAAUGAGACAAGCUCAGGGGAUAGUUGAGACUCAGCUCAGGAAAAACUAAGAUAAACUCAGAGAAAAAUGGAAAUAAAAUGAAAGAAGGUAGCGAGUUGCCGCCAACCCUGAGCAUGAGCAAAGGGCGGCAGCUGAAAGUGGAAGCCGGAGAAGAGGCUUUGGAUUUGGGUUUCUAGAAAGAGAAACAAUGAGAGAGAGAGAGAGAGAAUGCAUCCCACCUCAGAUUAUUAUUUUUGAACUUUUAAGCUAAUUAAAUACAUAAUUUCAACUGAUGGUGGAAGACACAUGACGCACAAUGAAUGGAAAAGGUAAGUAGGAAAAGACAAAUGGGAAAUGUAUCUGGCAUUUCUUAUCUAGAUAAUAGAGAUUGACAAAUAUAUAAAAACUUAGGUUGGAUACAACUAUUGGAGAACCAAUGAAAUUUACAACCAUUAAAUUUGAAUGUUAUGACCUUAAUUGAAUAUUAUAUUAGCACUCUCAUAAUGGUUGCAUUAAACGGAAAGGGAUCCUCCUUAAAUCCCUUCCGCCUAAUCCAUCAAGUCCGGGAAUCCAGGCCAUUGAAAUUUGAUCUAAUGACUACAAACAGGGGCUCACUUUAAAAGUUAUAAUAACUUUAGCCGUUAGAUCAAAUGUCAACCACCCGGAUCCUCGGACUUCGUGGAUUAGGAAGAAGAGAUCCAGAAAAGAUCAUUUUCCACAUUAAAAGAAGGAAACUUCUAAAAUUGUAUGUAUUUUAAUUCCUUAUGCAAUAAAGAAUUAGUUAUUAAUUUCCAAUUCCAUGUUAACGAACAAAAAAAAAAAAAAAACGAUGUAAGACUGAAAGGGAGUGUUUGUUCUAUUUUAAAAUACUUAACAAAAUUCCAACAGAAAUAACCCUAACAAUUUAUAAAAAGUGCAGUUGGACCCAUCCCACUUUCUUAUGUACUCACAUUAGAAUUCCACCUACCAUAGAAUGCUAAAAAAUUGAAAUGCUAUCCACAUCCACUAUUAUUACUAAAAUAACCCCUAUUUUUUUUAAAUUUUCAGUAGAAUAACUAUUAGAAUGCUAAUAAGCCCAGCGGAGCCUCCACUCUUCCCCAUUUUUAUUAUGGUAAAUUCCAAAAUCCGAUCAUAUCUCCAGUCGAUUGCAACUCUCAUUCCUUCCCUCUCUUCAGACUCCUAAUGCAACCUCCUUUUAUCCCCCAUCCAAAUCCACAACCAAGCCUCAUGCCACAUUCCCAAAAUUUCAUCCUCAUGCCCUUUCCCAAAUUCUCGACAACCCCCAAUUCCUUCUUCUAUUCUCUUAUUUUGUUUUUCAAAUUUUAAAUAAUUAUUUCAUUAGUAAGAUAUAUUAAACUGUUAUAAACUUUAUAUUUAAGUGUGAUUGUGUAAAUCCUAGAUUAUAUUUGAGUCUAGUUAUUCUACCCUAUUAGGACUUGUAUUUCUUGAAGGAGAAGGAUUCUUCCCUCCCUUAUUACUAUAAAUAAAGGCAUUGUGUAGGGAGAAUAACAUAUCCUCUACACAACCUUACAAACCCAUCUCUCUCUAUUUUCUCUCUGUGGCGCCGGCCCACUCUCUCCCUGUCAGUUAAAAUAAGCCACAACAUGUUAUCUGUACGUUCCUAUCGCUGCACUUAUGAAUUUGAUGUGCAGGUUUUGUGCAUCAAACCAGUUCAUCAAUAUUAUCACGCAAUCAGGUUCUUUCAAAACAACGGUUUUUAUCUCGAUAUUUUUGUAGCCAUGAUAGCAUGAACAUUCACCAUAAUGCAUGACCUAACUCUACGUUUUUCGAAUUUUAGAUUCUACAUAAAUUGUGUAUGCAUUAUAAUCAUAAUUUGAAUUAUGUGAAUUUAUACUGCAUGAAUUGAAUCAUAUAUCUGCACAUGCAUUGAAUUAUAUGUUGAAUAUGCAUGAAAUUGAAUUAAAUUUAUAAUCUGAAAUAUAUAUAUAUAUAUAUAUAUAUAUAUAUAUAUAUAUAGUUAGGGUUUUGUUGAAAACCCAUCCACCGUGUGAGUGCGGCUGGCGAGUUGCCAAGCUGUCGAGCCCAGCAUGCCAGGCUAGCAGCCUGAGUUGCUGGAGCUGAGCCAACCCAUGGAGCCAACAACUCCAUGCCCUUAGAACCCAAAACUCGACGCCAUUAUU